rnacentral:lncRNA from 10 species
GAGGCUGAGGCAGGAGAAUCGUUUGAACCCGGUAGGCUGAUGUUGCAGUGAGCUGAGACAGCACCACUGCACUCCAGCCUGGGCAACAGGACCAGACUCCGUCUCCAAAAAACAAGAAAAAGAAAAGCAAUAUUCAGAAAGAGUAGGAAGAGGUGACCCGCUGAGAAAGACUCACUGUUCUGGCUCUGGCCAUAAGAAGAAUAGCUGCUCUGGCCAUAGCCUGAAGUGUCCGUGGACUGGCUAUAACCACUGUAACUCUGCUGUCCGUAGGGCUGACUGCUCUGCUGGGAAUAGCCCUGCCCGGGCUGGGUGGGGUAGGCCCCAUAGCUAAAUAAAAGGAAAACCAGCGUGAUCAGAAAACAUGGCGUGACCACCCUUGCCCUCUACAAACUCUGGAAGCCCAAAAAUAGCACUCACCUUUGGGUUGCUUGUUGGGUAUAAUCUGCAAAAGAAAAAUACAAUCACAUUAUCUUCAGCUGCCACUCUGAAAGAGUUGAAUUAAAGCUAAAUUCCUUAACUCAAGCACUGAUGAAUAAAAAGGACCACGUAGGCCAGGCACGGUGGAUCAUGCCUGUAAUCCCAGCAGUUUGGGAGGCCGAGGUGGGUGGAUCACUUGAGGUCAGGAAUUCGAGACUGGCCUGACCAACAUGGUGAAGCCCCAUCUCUAAUAAAAAUACAAAAAAUUAGCCGGGCAUGGUGGCGCACGCCUGUAAUCCCAGCUACUCGGGAGGUGAAGCAGGAGAAUCGCUUGAACCCGGGAGGCAGAGGUUGCAGUGAGCCAUUGCACUCCAGCCUGGCAACAGAGCAAGACUCCAUCUCAAAAAAAAAAAUAAAAAUAGGACCAUGUUGCAACAAAGGGCAUAAAAUUCCUCCAUGAGACACUGGUUGAGAAGAGGAACAAACUGGCGUUAUCAGCCAAGUGUUCUUACAAUAAAGAAAAAGUGAAGAAAAUGCAAGUUUCUACAGAGUCCCAGAAGCCUUAACCAUUGGAAAAACCAAGGUCUUGGUGGACAUCCACAAUUUUCUGCAAGCCCAAUUCAUGUCAGUGAUUGCUCUAAAACAUCGCGCAUUCGUUUCAUCCACUCUAUGAGAAAGCCAUUAUCGCCAGGAGUCAAGAGACUAACUCUCCCAACGUCGCAGAACUACCAAAGUGGCACAGGUUUGAAUUCGAACAGUGUUCAGAUUGUGGCCUCUGCUCUCUCAGCCCAGACCCACAGAAUAAGAAAGUCUCAAAAAAGGCCAUUCUUCACUCUUUGACCAAUCCCGGAGAUGAAGUGGGCUUUUUAGUGCAAAGCCAGAGAAUCAAAAGAGCCCUUGGACCCCAAAUGACAGAGAUCAUGCAACUGCUCGCCUUAGGAGGCGAAAGUCAACAGGUACUCGAGUCCCCAGCCCUGGGACUCCAGAUGGUUCCGUUUUCUCACCUACCCUGCCUUCCCCCAGCGAACAAAAAGCAACAAAAGCGCUUUUGAAAAGCCCCACUUAAGAUACACGAACAAGAUCAACUCAUCCUCCCAGCACAGGAAACGCGGCGCUUCCCCCGCAGGAAAAGGGAAAGAGGACCAGGAGAGGGUGUGGCCUCGGGCGGCCGUUCUUCUCCGUCCCUAUCUCAGAAAAAAGAAAUUUAGACCAGGCGUGGUUGGCUUACGUCUGUAAUCCCGACACUUCGGGAGGCCCAGGCGGGCGGAUCACCUGAGGUCAGCAGUUCGAGACCAGCCUGACCAACAUGGUGAAACCCCGCCCCUACUAAGAAACACAAAAAUUAGCCGGGCUGUGGUGGCGGGCGCCUAUAAUCCCAACUACUCAGGAGGCUGAGGCAGAAGAAUCACUUGAACCCAGGAGGUGGACGUUGCAGUGAUCUGAGAUCGCACCACUGCACUCCAGCCUGGGCGACAGAGGAAGACCGUGUCUCCAAAAAAAAAAAGAAAGAAAUUUAGGCGGGAAAAACUCU